UUAGACAUUAGCAUCGAAACAAUAGUUUGUUUGGUGCUACUGAAGACUGGGAACAUCCACAAAAGAUGUCUUUUUCUGCAUUAUACAUGAUUCCAUGAGUGUGAUGAGUUCAAAGAACAACUGCCCUGCGUGGUGUGUACUCCUUGUUGGCGUCUACAUACCAGCGCGGCGGUUUGCGGGUUCGAUUCUUGCUCGGGAUAGAAAUUUGUAUUUACAAGUAUUCCUAUCCGGUUUCGAUAUCUAUGCUUGUCGGUCUCCCUACCGUACCUCGGAGGCCUAUGACCAGCAGUAGGAUGCUACAGGCCGAAUUGUGAUCCUUUAGCCUGUAACUGCACUGUAUAAUGAUAAGAAUUUAUUAAUCUGUUAUUUUUUUUAAUUUAUACGAUAUCACUGUCUUAGCUACAAUAGGUAAUUAAAAUAAUGGGUGGUAAAAGAAGAAAUGUCGA